rnacentral:rRNA from 1 species
AACGAACGCUGGCGGCAUGCCUAACACAUGCAAGUCGAACGAGACCUUCGGGUCUAGUGGCGCACGGGUGCGUAACGCGUGGGAACCUGCCCUUAGGUUCGGAAUAACUCCCCGAAAGGGGUGCUAAUACCGGAUAAUGUCUUCGGACCAAAGAUUUAUCGCCUUUGGAUGGGCCCGCGUUGGAUUAGGUUGUUGGUAGGGUAAAAGCCUACUAAGGCGACGAUCCAUAGCUGGUCUGAGAGGAUGAUCAGCCACACUGGGACUGGGACACGGCCCAGACUCCUACGGGAGGCAGCAGUGGGGAAUAUUGGACAGUGGGCGAAAGCCUGAUCCAGCAAUGCCGCGUGAGUGAUGUAGGCCUUAGGGUUGUAAAGCUCUUUUACCCGGGAUGAUAAUGACAGUACCGGGAGAAUAAGCUCCGGCUAACUCCGUG